CCCCUAGAUGUUCUGGGCCGCACGCGCGCUACACUGAACAGUUCAACAAGUCUUAACCUUGGCCGAUAGGUCUGGGUAAUCUUUGAACGCUGUUCGUGAUUGGGAUAGACCUUUGCAAUUAUGGGUCUUCAACGAGGAAUUCCUAGUAAACGCAGGUCAUCAGCUUGCAUUGAUUACGUCCCUGCCCUUUGUACACACCGCCCGUCGCACCUACCGAUUGAAUGGUCCGGUGAAAUCUCGGGACGGCGGCUUGGUCGCUUGCGUCCGACUGCUGAAACUUGAUUAAACCAUAUCAUUCAGAGGGAGGUGAAGUCGUAACA
rnacentral:rRNA from 1 species